GCUGGGCAGGGUGGCGUAUGCCUGUAAUCCCAGCUACUGGGGAGGCCGAGGCAGGAGAAUCGCUUGAACCCAGGAGAUGGAGGUUCAGUGAGCCAAGAUCGUGCCACUGCACUCUAGCCUGGGUGACAGAGCAAGACUCUGUCUCAA
rfam:Homo sapiens chromosome 10, GRCh38 reference primary assembly.